GUCUAGCGGUUAGGACACCGGCCUCUCACGUCGGUAACACGGGUUCGAUUCCCGUUGGGACCA
rnacentral:tRNA from 1 species